CUCCUGUAUAUUGUAUAUCUAUCUUCCCUUUGUCUUAACUUUUAAAGGGCCAGACUCUCUGUACGUCAUCAGUUGAUAACCCAAUAGAAGCACUAGAGGUGUGGUUAUCUUCCAGAUCGCAAAUUAGUUAUUUGGUCUGUAGAGGGCAGUCUUGUCCCACUAAACAUACCUAUCCAGGAAAGAGUUAACUUUUCCUGGUGGCUAUUUU